UCCGGUCUGAUCCGGUUCCAUCCUGUUCGAACCGGUUUGAUCCGGUCUGAUCCGUUUCCAUCCGGUUUGAUCCGGUCUGAUCCGGUUCCAUCCGGUUUGAACCGGUCUGAUCCGGUUCCAUCCGGUUUCAACCGGUCUGAUCCGGUUCCAUCCUGUUUCAACCGGUCUGAUCCAGUUUGAGCCAGUCCCAUCCGGUUUCAUCCGGUCUGAUCCGGUUCCAUCCGGUUUGAACCGGUCUGAUCCGGUCUGAUCCGGUGUGAUCCGGUUCCAUCCGGUCUGAUCCAGUCUGAUCCGGUCCCAUCCGGUUUGAACCGGUUCGAGCCGGUCCGAUCCGGUUUGAACCGGUCUGAUCUGGUCUGAUCCGGUUUGAGCCGGUCCGAUCCAUUUUGAUCCGGUUCCAUCCGGUUCGAUCCGGUAUGAUCCGGUUCCAUGCGGUUUGAUCUGGUCAGAUCCGGUGUGAGCCGGUUUGAUCCAGUUUGAUCAGGUCCCAUCCGGUUUGAGCCGGUCUGAUCCGGUUUGAACCGUUUUGAGCCGGUUCCAUCCGGUCUCAUCCGGUCUGAUCCGGUUCCAUCCUUUUCGAACCGGUUUGAUACGGUCUGAUCCGGUUUCAACCGGUCUGAUCCGGUCUGAUCCGGUUUGAUCCGGUUCCAUCCGGUCUGAUCCGGUCUGAUCCGGUUUGAUCCGGUCCCAUCCGGUUUGAGCCGGUCCGAUCCGUUUCCAUCCGGUUUGAGCCGGUUCCAUCUGGUUUGAGCCGGUCUGAUCCGGUCUGAUCCCGUUUGAUCCAGUCCCAUCCGGUUUGAUCCGGUCUGAUCCGGUUUGAUCCGGUCCCAUCUGGUUUGAUCCGGUCUGAUCCGGUUUGAUCAGGUUCCAUCCGGUUUGAGCUGGUCCGAUCCGGUUUGAGCCGGUCUGAUCCGUUUUGAACCGGUUUGAGCCGGUUCCAUCCGGUUUGAGCCGGUCUGAAAUGGAAGAACAUACCAUGCUCAUGGAUAGGAAGAAUCAAUAUCGUGAAAAUGGCCAUACUGCCCAAGGUUAUUUAUAGAUUCAAUGCCAUCCCCAUCAAGCUAC
rnacentral:lncRNA from 1 species